GAGAGGGGGGGGGAGGCGCUGAGAGAGGAGGGGGGAUCUGCCGCAUGGUCAAUGUUGCUCCUUUUGGCAGGCCUGUGUCCCCAUACCCAUCGCCCCCCUCGAUCCGAACCUUUACUAUUGCCCAGGGAGGGUCUGGGAACACAGGCCUGCCAAAAGGAGCAACAUUGACCAUGCGGCAGAUCCCCCCUCCUCCCUCAGCGC